rnacentral:piRNA from 1 species
UGCGAUGUUGAGAGGGAAAAUGGGCCUC